GAUGAACGCUGACAGAAUGCUUAACACAUGCAAGUCAACUUGAACUUCGGUUUGGGUGGCGGACGGGUGAGUAACGCGUAAAGAACUUGCCUCACAGAUAGGGACAACAUUUGGAAACGAAUGCUAAUACCUGAUAUUAUGAUUAUAUGGCAUCGUAUAAUUAUGAAAGCUAUAUGCGCUGUGAGAGAGCUUUGCGUCCCAUUAGCUAGUUGGAGCGGUAACGGCUCACCAAGGCGAUGAUGGGUAGCCGGCCUGAGAGGGUGAUCGGCCACAAGGGGACUGAGACACGGCCCUUACUCCUACGGGAGGCAGCAGUGGGGAAUAUUGGACAAUGGACCAAGAGUCUGAUCCAGCAAUUCUGUGUGCACGAUGAAGUUUUUCGGAAUGUAAAGUGCUUUCAGUUGGGAAGAAAAAAAUGACGGUACCAACAGAAGAAGUGACGGCUAAAUACGUG
rnacentral:rRNA from 1 species